GCAUUUCCCGAGACACCUUGGCCCGCCAUUCCCCCGUCCUGUGCCUGUAAAAACUCCAGGCCCUAGAAGGCACACACGCACAAGUGGCUGGACUUCGUGAGGAAUUCAUAGGGGAAGAAGAUGCAAGUGGCUGGUCAUGGAGAGGACUUUUUGACGAGCGCCGGCAAAAGAGCACAGCGAAGAAAUCCCAGGAUACGGAAAGCCCUCUGUACUUGCAACAAGGUAUGAGCCUUGCAAGAAGACAUACAUAUUUUGCUGAUUGCCAAGGGGAUAAUGCAUUGGGUAUAAGAAGAAGGAAAGUAGAGGAACCAAUUAAGAAAUAUUUACUACAAUUAAGAAGAGAUGAUAAUAACUUCGACCAAGGUGGAGGCUAUGAAGAUGGAGCAAUGCGAAUACAUGGAGACAUGUUUUUGAUGUAGACUCAGCAAGAAAUUCUAAUAUAUUAGAUUUUAUGUUUUGGGAGAAAAAGAGACAUCUCCAAGAUUAUGGCUUGAAUAGAUUGGGACUAAUAGUGAAACUUGAGAGUGAUCACAUAUGGAGAUGAAAGAUUGAAAGACCUCUCGCUGAACAUAAUAUAGAAGGUCUAAAAUACUCUCAAGUCCCCUCCAUCUCAAAAUGACAGCAGUAACAGUGAAAACUAAACAUAGCUGUACCAAGGAAGCUGUAUUAUUUUACUAUUCAAUUAUGUUUUGAAUGUUUAAAUAUUUGAUUAGACAUUUUGGCUGAAUGGAAACUUGCCUAAUAUCUUUAAAAGAAGAAAUACAUGAUUAACUUCAUCAUCUGGUAGAAAAAGAUUCUGAAAGGUAGACAAUCUGUGGAGAAGAAAGUAAAGAAGUUGAGUUUUGGGCGAUUGCAUUGAAAGCAAGAUCCCUAGCUUUGGAAGUUUGAAGGCUUGAGGAGUCUGAGGCUAUAGUGCUGGGUCAGUGCUCAAUUUGGUCGAUACACAACGGGCAUGAGGACUAGUGGAUUAGUUGGGGAGUCUUUUUUUUUAAAAUGCUCUGAACUGAGAAAUAGUUGGCUACUGCAAAAGAUUAUUCUUCUAUCUUUUUUUCCAGGUGUCUGCUGUGUGCUUGCUAAUUAAAUUUGAGAAUCUGUAAUACACUGCUUAGAACAGCAGGGAUU
rnacentral:lncRNA from 10 species